GGGCAGAUAGAUCAGCUGGAAGAUCGCAUGCUUUGCAAGCAUGAAGUCGCGAGUUCAAAUCUCGCUCUGUCCA
rnacentral:tRNA from 1 species